GAUGAACGCUGGCGGCGUGCCUAAUACAUGCAAGUCGAGCGAACAGACGAGGAUCUUGCUCCUCUGACGUUAGCGGCGGACGGGUGAGUAACACGUGGAUAACCUACCUAUAAGACUGGGAUAACUUCGGGAAACCGGUGCUAAUACCGGAUAAUAUAUUGAACCGCAUGGUUCAAUAGUGAAAGACGGUUUUGCUGUCACUUAUAGAUGGAUCCGCGCCGCAUUAGCUAGUUGGUAAGGUAACGGCUUACCAAGGCAACGAUGCGUAGCCGACCUGAGAGGGUGAUCGGCCACACUGGAACUGAGACACGGUCCAGACUCCUACGGGAGGCAGCAGUAGGGAAUCUUCCGCAAUGGGCGAAAGCCUGACGGGGCAACGCCGCGUGAGUGAUGAAGGUCUUCGGAUCGUAAAACUCUGUUAUUAGGGAAGAACAAAUGUGUAAGUAACUAUGCACGUCUUGACGGUACCUAAUCAGAAAGCCACGGCUAACUACGUG
rnacentral:rRNA from 1 species